rnacentral:snRNA from 1 species
AUGCUUCUUUAGCACAUAUAGUAAAAUUGGAACAAUACAGAAAAGAUUAGCAUAAAUCACACACAAGGAAAACAUGCAAAUUUGUGAAAUGUUCCACAUUUUU